CUUCACAAAAUGAACAAAAUUUUUCAUCUUUUAUUGUGCUAUAUUGCGAUAUAUAUAUAUAGGCAAAGGUAAUAAGGGCAAAAAGAUCAUAUCUCUUAAUCUGUGAAAGUAUUAUAUGCCUAUGAAGAUAUUAUAGGAUCGUUUAGUAUACUACAUGUAGGAAAUGUUGGUGUAUAUGGAUUUCUAUACAAACACGCAAGUAGUUGGUUCCGCCGAAGGUCAUUUAGCGCUUGGAUCGUCCGUUAUUUCUAGAGAGGUACAAAUGCAGAUGCUAACGAAUUACAAUUUUUAAGUACAUACUCAUUCGUAGCACAAAUACAGGGUAUACUCGUUCGAUACGUGCACGUCUCUUUGAAUGCAAAUUCUCAUACCACCGUGUCGGCAGGAUUGUUUUGUGUUAUUAUUCGUAUCUCUUCGAUCGACUUUGCCCCGUUCCAGAAAUAUCCACAGAUAACGUGCGAUUAUUUCUGUCUAUUUUUAGAAUCGUUCUCGUAACUAAAUUAGCCUAAUUAUAUGUAUAUGUGAUGUAAUCAAAGAAAUCCGUAAUAGAGGUGUGGUAAGCAUAAAUCGAAGUUCAAUCGAAGAACCACGAACUCUUACAGCAGCGUAUUUUAUAUUACAGUUUGCGUAUCGUGUUGCAAUCUUUUUUACGGUGGUCGUAGUGCGAAUUAAUCGUCCCGCUUCGAUUCGAAUUUCGCGCAUCACUGAUCGAUCGUAAAGAUGAUGCGCGAACAUAUAAACGCGGUUCUUAAUUCGCAAAGGUACAAACGAGCUACGUCUAAGCGUCAUUACAAAAAUAUUAAAUCUAGCAAGCGAAGCUAGGCGCGGACCUUCCAGGCUAGGUCAGGU
rnacentral:misc_RNA from 1 species